GUAUUCAUUCUCCAACCUUGGGUAUUUAUACCUAGGGAAGGAGAGAUUUGAGGCGUCGCACUUACCCUGCGUGCUUUUAAAACUAUUGCUGCUGGAUACUGUCAAGUAACGGAAAAGUAUGUGUAUGAGACUUCGGUUUCUCUAAUACCCAGUACGUGUGGUGGUGUAUGUCCGGCACUCAACUAUUAAAGGCAACCUCUCGAGGUUGACUUGAACC
rnacentral:misc_RNA from 1 species